rnacentral:lncRNA from 1 species
AGACAAGCUGUCUCCCUGAUGGGUUGCACCUAGGGGCCCUGAGCGGGGUGUCUGCGGUAGGUUUGUCUAAACACAGCCAGGAGAUGGCGCCUGGUGAAACAUGCGUGAUCACAAUGAGAGUUGAGUGAAUCCUGCUGAGAUGCUUCAAAAUGCUCGUGGAGGGAGCAACGUUCAUUUUGCUCUUAGAUUAGAUUAAGCAUAAAUGGAUCUCAAGGGAUUUUAAUCAUGUGGGAUCAGAAAAUUACCCGUUUUAGCAGGUUUGAGGCAGCAGUCAGAAAUCCCAUCAAAAGUCUACUAGAGCAGGAUAUAUCGCUAUCACUAAACGGUAUUUUACCGCAUUUUAUCCUAUUAACUAGGUUUCACUCUGCGAGCCACCUUUCAUUUGAGGAAAAGCAGUCAGUCAUCUUCCUAGGAAGCUGCUGACCAGGAGCCUCUGGUGUUAGGGGCCCUGAAGGCCAUGACAUGAUGAGGGCGAGGGGACAGAGGAGGCCUCCAGGCCUGGGAUUGCAGCCCACCCUGCACAAGCCUCUUCGUCUCUCUGAACCUCAGCUACUACACCUGUGAAAUGUGGAGAAUUUGUUCAUUGCUGAAACGAUUAUUGGCAUCAGAUGGGAAACCAGGCACUCCACCAAGCAGAAAAGAAAACAGAUACCAUGACAUGGUCUUGACCACUGAGGAAGGUCUCUGAGUGGGAAGGGUGCCCAGGGUGGAGGCUGUGGACCCUCAGGAGGACUCCUGUUGACCCUGAGGAAGGUCUCUGAGUAGGAAGGGUGCCCGGGGUGGAGGCCAUGGUAUCCUCUGUAGGACUCCUGUCACUCCUGUGAUUUCCUGGGAAGGGGAAAGACUCCAUGCUUAAGCAUCAGCAUUAGGGUUUGUCUUCUUCUGAGCGAAGCUGGAAAAUACCAACAAGGCAAGACAGCCUGCCACAUGUCCUCUGCUGUUUCACAUAGAAGAGCUUCUCAUAGUUUUGUGAUGCACCCAGCUUGCUUCAUGAUUGUAACUGAAAUCUGACUGAAUGUGUUAUUGGUAAAUUAACUGCCCACAAUCAUAAGUAGUUAGUAACUUGCUCCCUGCCUUGUUAUCCAUUGUCUUAUUGCAAAAACAAUAAGUUUAUGUGUUGUAUAGGUUAAGAUCAAAUGACAUCAAACAUAGAAAUUAAAAAUAAAUCCAGUUACUUACCCAGAAAGUCUCCCUAAAGAAUACCAUUUUCCUUGAUUAGGGCAUAUAAUAACCAGAUUUUUCAUGAGUCUUUACGUGUUUAUCUGGACGUCUGGUAAUUGCUUUAGAUCCUGCCUGGGAGUCAUUGUAUUGCAAUACAAGACCCCAGAGAAGUGACCGCCAAACUUUUAAAGGAGUAGAUAGUACAGUAGCUUAGGAUUUUCUUUUCUUUAGGCCAGUACUGAAAGCCGAUAAAAUGAUAGUCAGUUUUUCUUCAAGAUAAGGCAGGUAAAGACAGACAUAGAGGGCCAAUAUAUAAUGAUCAAAGGGACACUUCAUCAAGAAGAAAUAACGCUUAUAAAUGUCUAUGCACCCAAC